CGCGGGAUUGGCAGCAGUGGGGAAUAUUGCACAAUGGGCGCAAGCCUGAUGCAGCGACGCCGCGUGGGGGAUGACGGCCUUCGGGUUGUAAACUCCUUUCGUUAGGGACGAAGCCGCACUUUUUUGGGUGUGGUGACGGUACCUUUGUUAAGAAGCACCGGCUAACUACGUGCCAGCAGCCGCGGUAAUACGUAGGGUGCGAGCGUUGUCCGGAAUUACUGGGCGUAAAGAGCUCGUAGGUGGUUUGUUGCGUCGUCUGUGAAAUUCCGGGGCUUAACUUCGGGGUGGCAGGCGAUACGGGCAUAACUAGAGUGCUGUAGGGGAGACUGGAAUUCCUGGUGUAGCGGUGGAAUGCGCAGAUAUCAGGAGGAACACCGAUGGCGAAGGCAGGUCUCUGGGCUGUAACUGACGCUGAGAAGCGAAAGCAUGGGGAGCGAACAGGAUUAGAUACCCUGGUAGUCCAUGCCGUAAACGUUGGGCACUAGGUGUGGGGGACAUUCCACGUUUUCCGCGCCGUAGCUAACGCAUUAAGUGCCCCGCCUGGGGAGUACGGCCGCAAGGCUAAAACUCAAAGGAAUUGACGG
rnacentral:rRNA from 1 species